rnacentral:rRNA from 1 species
GACGAAGGUGGCGAGCGUUGUUCGGAAUCACUGGGCAUAAAGCGCACGUAGGCGGCGACGUAAGUUGGGUGUGAAAUCCCUCGGCCCAACCGAGGAACUGCGCCCAGUACUGCGUUGCUUGAGGAUCCAAGGGGUGCAUGGAAUUCCCGGUGGAGCGGUGAAAUGCGUUGAUAUCGGAAGGAACUCCGGCGGCGAAAGCGAUGCACUGGCUGGUUUCUGACGCUGAGGUGCGAAAGCCAGGGGAGCAAACGGG